UGAGUUAUUCAGUUCCUAAGUUCUUGGCAGAAUAUUGACAUCUAGGUUUUAUAAAACUUUCUCCUAGGUCCUGAAGUUGUUCCACAUGGCAGUUUCUGGUGAAAUUCUUCUGGAGAUGACAGGAAGCAGGAAUGUGCCUCAGCUCAGAAUUCCAGCCUGCUUCAAUCAUAUCAUGUUCCUAUCAGUGUAACCUGCCAUGAUCACCAAGGCUGGGGACGAGAGUGAUGGAGUAUCAAACACCUGUGCUUAAAUACUCCCACCUGGAAGUGAUACACUUCAAAGCCGCUCAUAUCUCAUUAGCCUGGACAAGUCACAUGGCCAUGACUAACAACAAAAGUAGGGAACUGCAGUCCUUGGAAGUACCCAGAAGGAAAGGGAACCAGAUCUUGGAGAAUAUCUUUAUGCCUUGUCAGUAAUAUGGUCAUCUGCAAAGACCCAGAGAGAGCCAGCAGAAAAAGAGUACACAUGCUUUAGGCCUGAACACUUCCCUGAGGUCAAAUAUAUUAUCCUUCUGGGUAUGACUUGUGAACUUCUGUGUUUGAACUUCUGUGUAAGAAGAAAAAAU